AUAAUGUUUCCGUAAACCUGACCCACCCAAGUCGAGUACUUGGUCUUUUUUUUUGCUGGCCAAUUUAGUACUUGGUCGUAAAGACCGUUUACGUGUUGAAAAAAAAGAACAGAAAGGAAAGAAAAAUAAAAAAAAAGGACAGGUCUAAAACGGUCUCUUUACCGAGGAAAGAUGAUAUGAAGACAAAUCGUUUCCCAUGGUGAAAAUCAAAGGUAGUCGACUAUUGCCUGAGUAAAUAACAACUCAGAAACUCGAAAUCAAAAGAUCGUAACAUGCAGAUGAAUGUGUUCUUAGAUCUGAAAUAUUAUGAAAGGGAACAGACGAUUACCAUGCAAUCAUUUUACGUCGGGGAUUCUGCAUAAAUCUGAAGAAACCUGGUUUAUACUAUGGAAACCACGAGCAAGAACAAUUGUGGUUCUGUGACUUUUGAAUAUUGGAUCUCAAAACUUGGAGUGAACAUUCAGUUUAUGCCCAAUACAUAACAGUUAGCAUAACCGGUCGAUGUUCACACAACCAACAUAAAAAAAGGUAAGA